rnacentral:lncRNA from 1 species
CUCUGUCAUAAUCUGGAAUGAUGAUAUCAAUCAAGUGAAGCAGCUAUCACAGGGUCUGGAACAUAGUACAUCCCAGCCUUCUUGCACAUAGAAACACUACACAGCACUUCAGCUGUAUGUUUGGGGGCCAUUUUAAACAGCAAAAUCAUCAACAGGAAGCAGAAAAUUGUAAAAAUUGUGGCACUAAAUAGACCAUGUAAAGGACACAUGUUUGCAAUAAGAAAGCUGAAACAAGAAGGGGGAGUGUCACCUUAUUUGAUCCAGCUAGAAACUCAGGUGCUGGUAUUCCAGCAACACUCAGGCGGCUGCUCCAGGAGGCUGCAGAGGGGUCCUUUUUAGCCGUCAACAAAACUGGCUAUGGUCACGCCCAUUGGGAAACUCAUUGCUGCCUUCAAGGUGAUGGCCACAGUGGCAGAACCUAGGAAGCCAAGAAGAAACCAGAGAAUGGAGACACAUGGCAGCAAUGGCAAGUCAUCAGACCCAGGAUUUCCCAAAGAACACUGGUCCAGGAAGAUGCUCUGUGAAAAAGUGUUCCCUGGUCGGAGAAAUUUGUGAAACACUUUGCAUAAUACUUAAAAGAAUGUAUGGCACAUCAAAGAUCUUAUAACAGUCUCCGCAGGAAGCAGCUGCAGUCAUUAGCCAUAGGACAGACUAAACACACAAUCUGCAUGGAAGGAGGCCUGGAUCAGCUUGGUCUUUCAGAUCUCUAAUCUCAGGCACAGGAAAGCACCAUCAACAGCACCCUUUGUAUAUAUACAUAAAGGUAACAUAUUUUAUCAUUUAAAGGGAUUUGAGAAAUUGAAGAGGCCCAACUCUUUUUCUGCCUUCUUUGGUUUGAGGCUUAGAUUGCUUAAGGGGCUUGCCCAGGAUCACAUAUCUUGUAAGAGACAGAGCAAGGAUUCAAAGCCAGUGCUGGCUUCUGUGUCUCCAUUCUUUCCAUUCUCCUCCAGUGGCUCUUUUGGGAAGCUGAGGGAGGAACAGCAGCAGAAUUGGGUGGCACCUGCCCAUGCCCAUCAUGC